GCUUCUUUCAUUACGAGAUUUUUUUUUUUUUAAGAAAAAGAUAGCUCGCUACCCGCUUCGUUCAUUGAUUCGAUGAAUUAAAUUAUAAGUGUGAAGCAACCAGGCCUCGAGAGAAAAAAAAAAAAAUUACGAGCAACUUUGAGGUUCGAGUAGAAGGUCCCACUCCUUCACGAGCAACUUGAAUCUGUGUGCCACUGUCCCUCGGUUGGGUAGGAUAUUCCGAAAUAUGCAGUCGUUUCUGACCUUUCAAAUGAUCCACCAUUUUACCUUUUUGGGAUCACUUGAGUUAAAAUUUUAUAUUGAUUCCUACAAAUAUAGUGAAUGAUAAAUAUAUUUUUAUAAAAUUUAACUUUCAUAUGUUAUCUUUACAAAAGUAUUGAUAUUUUCAAAUAUGUUCCUACCGUUAGAAUUCGUUAGAAAAUUUAAUUAAUCACAAAUUAAAUAUUUAAUUUUGGUUAGUUUUUGAUAUUUUUAUCCCUUUUAUAUUAUAUCGUUAUGAUUUUUGAAGUGACAUAUUUGUGAUGGCAAAAUUAAAAAUAUAAAUAAUUCUCUAACGAUAACAAAUCAUAAAAAUAUAUUUUAAAAUAUUAGAACUUUUGUGGGAAUAUAUUUAUCAUUCACUAUAUUUAUAGAAAUUUAUAUAAAUUAAUCCUAAUUUAUUUUAGUACUUGCAUCUUCGUGAUAGUAAAAAAUGUUAGUUUACUAUCCACUCUUCAAUAAGUUGGAUUUUAAUUAUUUAGUGGUUUUGAUAAGUUACUACUGCUGAUCCAAUGCACCCUUGCAUUUGUGUAUUUCAUGGUCGUCUACUUCUAUCUUAUUGAUAGAGAUGCAAACGGAUCCGGGUUGGUGGAGCUUUCGCCCCAACGGGUAGUAAAUGGGAGAAAAUAAAUGGAUUUGGGGUGGAAAACGGGUAAAUUUUACGAUCCGAGACUGAUUCGAGACAGGAAACGGAAGAAAUUUUAACCCGCCCCGAAUCUGUCCCAAAAAUUAUUUAUAUUUUAAAAAAAAUAUUCUUAAAAAAUAAUGUAUUCACAAAAAAGUUCAAAAUACAAAUAACUUAGUGCUCUCAUUUCUAAUAUAUUUGAAACUUUUGAAUUUUAUUUUAAAUUGUAAUUGAUAUUUUUUAUUUUUAUAAUUAAUAUUAUUAAAUUAUAUAUAUAAUAUUAUUAAAAGUUAUUAAUUUAUAUUUUACAAAAUAUUAAUAAUAUUAUAAUUUUAUAAAAAAUAUUAGUUGACGGGACGGAUUCAGGACGCAGGCGGGAAGCGGGUUACGGGACGGAUUAUGGGAUAUAUUUUUUAACCCGUCACGAAUUCGGAGUGGGAGGCGGGAUGAGAUUUUACUAGUCGGGACAGGAGACGGGACGGGGCUCCGGCUCCCAGAUCCGCUCCGUUUGCAUCCCUACUUAUUGAUAGUUCAAUUUUUAUUUGUCAGCGACUUAUCACUUUUUGUAGCUUUUCUUUUCACUUAUUACGAAGUGAAAAGUUAGAUUGGAAAAAUAAUAAGAUUUAUCCAAGAUAAAUGAGACUGUAAUAUCCAGACUAUAUGAUAGAGAAAGAAAAAUAAAAAAAAAUUAUCGAUUGGGUAGUAGUCAUUCCCCAACAUUUAGGUUAAUUUCUACCACUAUCAUUCUUGAAAGAAAAAAAAUUUAGGUUAAUUUCUACCACUAUUAUUCUUGAAAGAAAAAAAAAAAAACUAUUUGGGUAGAUAUAUUUGUGUUUGAGUAGGACUGCUGUGCUAUUAGGAGCACGGAGACCUCCGUGCUCCUAAGUCGUUUUCGAUUAUGGAGCUUCCGAAUCGACGAUCGGCUCCAUUAGACUUGAUCUAGUGCAUUUGAAGUUUCUAGAAAAUAAAUUUUGCGAUUUUUUAAUAUUAUUUACCUAGCGAUCAAAAAGAUUCAAAAUCAACAAUUUUUAAUGGUUGAUCUAUUCCAUUUGCAAGUUUAACGGUGUAGAAGUAUUCAAAUCAGAUGAAAUUUUGAUACAAAAUUUUUAUACUAUCUAUAACAAAAUCAAUAUUUCUGAUUGAAAAUUUUAGUACUAUAUCACCACUAUUUAUAAAAUUUUUAUUUUCAGCCGUUAAAAAUUAUUGAUUUUAAAUCCUUUCGAUUGCUAGGAAAAUGAUAUCGAAAAAUCGCAAAAAUUAUUUUCUAGAAACUUCAAAUACGCUAGAUCAAGUCUAACGGAACCGAUCGUCGAUUUAAAAAUUUCAUCAUCGAAAACGGUUCAGAAACACAGAGACCUCCGUACUCUUGAGAACGUCCUGCUCUUUGUGUUUGGGCGAGUGAGAUAUAAAAAUCACAUUCUAUUACUAAAUGUACAGACAAUAUUAUUUUUCGCAACAUCUCAUUCAUCAUAUUUUUUUUAUUUAUAUAUGAUGGAUAAAAUAAAAGUUAGUUUUCUCACUAAUUUUUUUGAAAAUUUUUUUCUUAUUUAUUCCCGACUACUAUUAAAAACUUUCAAAUGUAUCCUCAACCAAAAUAUCCGUCUAUAUCUUAAAUCUCAUUACUAAAUUUCAAAGAUUUUAAGAUAUCUAAAGAGAUUUUUGAGAACUAGUAAGGAUAUUUUAGUGGGCUAUGAGUAUAUUAGAUAUUUUUAAAAUUUGGUAAGGUAUGCUAAUUUUUUUUAUUUUUUUAUUUUU
rnacentral:lncRNA from 1 species